rnacentral:rRNA from 1 species
UACGUAGGGUGCAAGCGUUAAUCGGAAUUACUGGGCGUAAAGCGUGCGCAGGCGGCUAUGCAAGACAGAUGUGAAAUCCCCGGGCUCAACCCUGGGAACUGCAUUUGUGACUGCAUGGCUAGAGUACGGUAGAGGGGGGAUGGAAUUCCGCGUGUAGCAGUGAAAUGCGUAGAUAUGCGGAGGAACACCGAUGGCGAAGGCAAUCCCCUGGACCUGUACUGACGCUCAUGCACGAAAGCGUGGGGAGCAAACGAGG